rnacentral:rRNA from 1 species
CCUACGGGAGGCUGCAGUGAGGAAUAUUGGACAAUGGACGCAAGUCUGAACCAGCCACGCCGCGUGCAGGAAGACGGCUCUAUGAGUUGUAAACUGCUUUUGUACGAGGGUAAACGCAGAUACGCGUAUCUGUCGGAAAGUAUCGUACGAAUAAGGAUCGGCCAACUCCGUGCCAGCAGCCGCGGUAAUACGGAGGAUUCAAGCGUUAUCCGGAUUUAUUGGGUUUAAAGGGUGCGUAGGCGGUCGGAUAAGUUAGAGGUGAAAUCCCGAGGCUCAACUUCGGGAUUGCCUCUGAUACUGUUCGGCUAGAGAGUAGUUGCGGUAGGCGGAAUGUAUGGUGUAGCAGUGAAAUGCUUAGAGAUCAUACAGAACACCGAUUGCGAAGGCAGCUUACCAAGCUACUUCUGACGUUGAGGCACGAAGGCGUGGGGAGCAAACAGGAUUAGAUACCCCAGUAGUC